GUGCCCACUUUGGCAGCACAUAUAGUAAAAGUGAAACAAUACAGAGAAGAUUUGCAUAGCUCCUGCACAAGGAUGACACACAAAUUCAUGAAGCAUUCUGUAAUUUU
rnacentral:snRNA from 1 species